rnacentral:rRNA from 1 species
GAUGAACGCUGGCGGCGUGCCUAAUACAUGCAAGUCGAGCGAACAGACGAGGAUCUUGCGCCGCGGACGUGAGCGGCGGACGGGUGAGUAACGCGUGUAUACCCUACCUGUAAUACGGGUAUAACUUCGAGAAACCGGAUCUAAUACCGUAGGAGAUAUUGAACCGCGGUGGGCAAUGGUGAAAUACGGUGGUUCGGGCACGUAUAGAUGGAUCCGCGCCGCAUUAGCGAGUUGUUAAGGUAAAGGCUUACCAAGGCAACGAUGCGUAGUCGAACUGCGAGGGUGAUCGGCCAGCCUGGAACUGUGACCCGCUCCAGACUCAUACGGGAGGCAGCCGUAGGGAAUCUUCAGCCAUGGGCGAAAGCUUGACGGCGAAACGCCGCGUGAGUGAUGAACGUCUUCGGAUCGUAAAAGUCUGUUAUUAGGGAAGAACACACGUGUAAGUAAGUCUGCACGUCUUGAAGGUAACUAAUCAGAAAGCCACGGCCAACUAAGUG